rnacentral:rRNA from 1 species
GGGUCAGUAGGUUGGUCGUGCCACCGGUACGUACUGGUCUCACUGAUUCCUCCUUCCUGAAGAACCGUAAUGCCAUUAAUUUGGUGUUGCGGGGAAACAGGACUGUUACUUUGAAAAAAUUAGAGUGUUUAGAGCAAGCUAACGCUUGAAUGCAUUAGCAUGGAAUAAUGAAAUAGGACGAUCGAUCCUAUUUUGUUGGUUUCUAGGAUUGACGUA